AUUAUGUUGCCUCAUUGAAAGCUGACGACAAUGGUGAUGUUAUUAGUUAUUCAGCUUUCUGCGAAGCCCUCCACCAGCAGGCAAAUUUAAAUGUACAACCUUAUAGACUGAGUUUCCAACAAGCAGAUGAUCUAUGGAAACUAGCAGAUGUUGAUGGAAAUGGUGUUGUUAAUCAUGAAGAAUUGAAGAAGAUGUGGAAUUCAACUUGUUCAGAGCAAAUAGAGGAUAGUUUCAAUGACAAUAUGGAGACGUCCGAAGAUUGCAGAGAACAAGAAGUAGUUGGCUUUAGAGUAAAGAAUGCAUGUCUCUUCCCUCCUGAAGUUGAGAAAGGAUUCUGGCCGGAGAACUACUCUCUUCCUAACCAUGCCCGGCUUAGCGUUGUAUUUUCACCAGUGUCGCUGCAAGUUUCUUAAUGGUAUUUUACUGAAGACUUAGGCAUAUUUGUAAAUAAAACCAUUCUAGAGAAAGAAUCAGAAUUUUGUAAAAGCUUUGAAAAUGAGGUAUAGACAGCCCAUAGAAAAUCUUCUUUUGGGUUGCUUGUUUGUUUCUGGAAA